GUGGGGAAUCUUGCGCAAUGGGCGAAAGCCUGAUCCAGCCAUGCCGCGUGUGUGAAGAAGGUCUUCGGAUUGUAAAGCACUUUAAGUUGGGAGGAAGGGCAGUAAGUUAAUACCUUGCUGUUUUGACGUUACCGACAGAAUAAGCACCGGCUAACUUCGUGCCAGCAGCCGCGGUAAUACGUAGGGUGCAAGCGUUAAUCGGAAUUACUGGGCGUAAAGCGUGCGCAGGCGGUUAUAUAAGACAGAUGUGAAAUCCCCGGGCUCAACCUGGGAACUGCCUCCAAAACUGCUGAGCUAGAGUACGGUAGAGGGUGGUGGAAUUUCCUGUGUAGCGGUGAAAUGCGUAGAUAUAGGAAGGAACACCAGUGGCGAAGGCGACCACCUGGACUGAUACUGACACUGAGGUGCGAAAGCGUGGGGAGCAAACAGGAUUAGAUACCCCGGUAGUCC
rnacentral:rRNA from 1 species